CGAUGAUGCCCAGCUUGCUGGGCGGAUUAGUGGCGAACGGUGUGAGUAAUACGUGAGUAACCUGCCCCUGACUCUGGGAUAAGCCUGGGAAACCGGGUCUAAUACUGGAUACGACCUUCCGCCGCAUGGUGGGGGGUGGAAAGGGUUUACUGGUUUUGGAUGGGCUCACGGCCUAUCAGCUUGUUGGUGGGGUAAUGGCUCACCAAGGCGACGACGGGUAGCCGGCCUGAGAGGGUGACCGGCCACACUGGGACUGAGACACGGCCCAGACUCCUACGGGAGGCAGCAGUGGGGAAUAUUGCACAAUGGGCGAAAGCCUGAUGCAGCGACGCCGCGUGAGGGAUGACGGCCUUCGGGUUGUAAACCUCUUUCAGUAGGGAAGAAGCGCAAGUGACGGUACCUGCAGAAGAAGCGCCGGCUAACUACGUGCCAGCAGCCGCGGUAAUACGUAGGGCGCAAGCGUUGUCCGGAAUUAUUGGGCGUAAAGAGCUCGUAGGCGGUUUGUCGCGUCCGCUGUGAAAGCCCGGGGCUCAACCCCGGGUCGGCAGUGGGUACGGGCAGACUAGAGUGCAGUAGGGGAGACUGGAAUUCCUGG
rnacentral:rRNA from 1 species